rnacentral:rRNA from 1 species
GACGAACGCUGGCGGCGUGCUUAACACAUGCAAGUCGAACGGAAAGGCCCUGCUUUUGUGGGGUGCUCGAGUGGCGAACGGGUGAGUAACACGUGAGUAACCUGCCCUUGACUCUGGGAUAACUUCAGGAAACUGGGGCUAAUACCGGAUAUGAGCUCCUGCUGCAUGGUGGGGGUUGGAAAGUUUCUGCGGUUGGGGAUGGACUCGCGGCUUAUCAGCUUGUUGGUGGGGUAGUGGCUUACCAAGGCUUUGACGGGUAGCCGGCCUGAGAGGGUGACCGGCCACAUUGGGACUGAGAUACGGCCCAGACUCCUACGGGAGGCAGCAGUGGGGAAUAUUGCACAAUGGGCGGAAGCCUGAUGCAGCAACGCCGCGUGCGGGAUGACGGCCUUCGGGUUGUAAACCGCUUUCGCCUGUGACGAAGCGUGAGUGACGGUAACUGGUAAAGAAGCACCGGCUAACUACGUG